AUCGGGGUGCUGAUACAAUUCGGCUGAGAUUGUGCGUGGUCGCACGAAACCCUUUAACCUGAUACGGAUAAUGCCGUCGUAGGGAACGUUUUU
rnacentral:ncRNA from 1 species